CAUUAAGAAGCUUAUCGGGCUCAAGCGCCAGCCUUUUAAGCUGGAAACUGGUGAUUCCCAACCACCCUUAGUGA
rnacentral:tRNA from 1 species